AUAUACUACAUUGGCAAUUUAAAUCUCUUAAAAUCUUGAAUGAAAUUUCAUUUAUAAUCUGGUAGUUUUUUUUGUUUUUUUUUAUUGUAUUAAGCAAUAAUAUUGUCGACUGUUAUUUAGUGUUUUUUGUUACAUUUUGAUAAUUCGAGAUAACUUGGAAAAAUGAGACAUGUAAGUUGUACGCCUAUCGAAUAGUAAUAAAAAUAAUAAGUUAAUUGCUAAUCGUGCUUCAUAUAUUGUU
rnacentral:lncRNA from 1 species